AUUCUUUCUCAGCAUACACUUUGACUACCAUGUCAGUAUUAAUCAACUAGCACUAUUAUAAUAGUGCUUUUAUGUACUUCGUACAUUACUGCUACUCCCCAUGAAUAAUAUAUA
rnacentral:ncRNA from 1 species